GGAACUAUGACUUGAGCUCCCUCAGGCACAUGCAGGUGGGGAAAGGUGUGACACCUGUGUAGAAAGGUGCAGACAGCUGCAAACUUGCAUUUUGAACUGUCCUUACCUGAGCCAGCUGCUGCCUGCAGUCUGAUGGACACCAGCAUGAGCUGAGCCUGCACUUCCAUGGCAGCCUAAGCCAGCCUGGCUGUAUCUGUGCCAAAAAAAGCUCACCAUCAGCUGAGUGCAGGCAUCAGUCUUUGCCCCUUUUCACCUCUAUUGAUCCACUUAGCACAGCUGCUGAAGUUUUGAUCCACGUCAGCCAGCAUCCUCUGUGCCUGGUCAUAGUCCAGGGUUAAUAGGAAAGAGGGAUUUGCAUAAGAAAACAAUUUUGGGUUUGGUUUUUUUUGGUUUUUUUUUUUUUUUUUUGGGGGGGGGGGGGGGGGGGGGGGGGGGGGGGGGGGGGGGGGGGGGGGGGGGGGGGGGGGGGGGGGGGGGGGGGGGGUGGUUUUUUUUGGUUUUUUUUUUUUUUUUUGUGUUUUGUUUUUGUUUGGUUUUUUUUUUUUCUUUAAUGUGGUGAGACAUCAGUACAAGCAGUGUUUUAUCAUGUGUCUUCAGAAUAACAUAAUGGAAUGGAAUGGAAUGGAAUGGAAUGGAAUGGAAUGGAAUGGAAUGGAAUGGAAUACACUCUAAAUGAGUGUAGGUAUUCCUGAAACAUGGGCUUGUAUGCCUCUGUUUGCAUCUGCCAGCCACAUUUUCCCAUCCACCUUGACUCAGUCAUCACCUGUCUGAAUGACAUUGGACACCUGCUGACAGCCACAGGAAGGGACAAUGGGGACUUCAUGAUUCUGGACCAGCAAGUGAAGGCCAGAAAAGAUUUUACACCUGAAUAAAGCAAUUAUCCCUUGAUAUCAGUUCCUACAACCCAGAAAUAUCC
rnacentral:lncRNA from 12 species